rnacentral:lncRNA from 1 species
GAGCUUCAUAGUCUGGAUCCAAGAAGGCAAGAGUUAUUGGAAGCUAGAUUUACUGGAGUUGCAAGUGGGAGCACUGGAAGUACGGGCAGUUGCAGUGUUGGAGCUAAAGCCUCAACAAAUAACGAAAGCUCUAAUCACAGUUUUGGAAGCUUGGGAUCUUUAAGUGACAAAGAAUCAGAGACACCGGAGAAGAAACAAUCGGAAUCAUCCAGGGGAAGAAAGAGAAAAGCAGAAAACCAGAAUGAAAGUAGUCAGGGUAAGCACAUAACAUCUUCCUUCAGAGCCUAGUGGACACUUAAAAUUAAUUGUUUUAAUUUUUAACCAAUUAAUACUCUAAUUGUAAAAUAAUAUGAAGUUGUAAAUUUUGGUGUGUGCACAGGUAGUUAGUGUAUAAUGAUUGCUUUUAGGCUUUUCAAUGUUGCCCUUAUUGUUUUCAUUUGGGUCCUAGAAAGACAAGUAUCAUGUCCAAAUCUGGCAAGCAUUAACUUAUGACUUUUCAUUUUUCAUUCUUUAUAUGUAUUGUAUUGAAAUGGCUUGUUUUUGAAUUAAAAACUUCAAUCUCACUUUAACAGAACUACUCAAACUUUUCCCAUUUAUUU